ACUGCUCAGUAACACGUAGUCAACCUAACUCGUGGACGUGGAUAACCUCGGGAAACUGAGAAUAAACCACGAUAGAUCAUAGUGCCUGGAAUGGCUUAUGGUCCAAACAGUUUACUGCCAUGGGAUGGGACUGCGGCCUAUCAGCUUGUUGGUGAGGUAAUGGCCCACCAAGGCGAUUACAGGUACGGGCUCUGAGAGGAGAAGCCCGGAGAUGGGUACUGAGACACGGACCCAGGCCCUAUGGGGCGCAGCAGGCGAGAAACCUUAGCAAUGUGCGAAAGCACGACUGGGUCAGUCCGAGUGAUUCCUGAUAAAGGAGUCUUUUGCUUGUCCUAAAAGCACAGGUGAAUAAGGGGUGGGCAAGUCUGGUGUCAGCCGCCGCGGUAAUACCAGCACCUCGAGUGGUCAGGACGUUUAUUGGGCCUAAAGCAUCCGUAGCCGGCUUUGCAAGUCUUCGGUUAAAUCCACCUGCUCAACAGAUGGGCCGCUGGAGAUACUACAGAGCUAGGGAGUGGGAGAGGCAGACGGUAUUCAGUGGGUAGGGGUAAAAUCCUCUGAUCCAUUGAGGACCACCAGUGGCGAAGGCGGUCUGCCAGAACACGUUCGACGGUGAGGGAUGAAAGCUGGGGGAGCAAACCGGAUUAGAUACCCGGGUAGUCCCAGCUGUAAACGAUGCAAACUCGGUGAUGCAUUGGCUUAUGGCCAAUGCAGUGCCGCAGGGAAGCCGUUAAGUUUGCCGCCUGGGAAGUACGGACGCAAGUCUGAAACUUAAAGGAAUUGGCGGGGGAGCAC
rnacentral:rRNA from 1 species